rnacentral:rRNA from 1 species
AUUGAACGCUGGCGGCAGGCCUAACACAUGCAAGUCGAGCGGAUGAAGGGAGCUUGCUCCUGGAUUCAGCGGCGGACGGGUGAGUAAUGCCUAGGAAUCUGCCUGGUAGUUGGGGAUAACGUCCGGAAACGGGCGCUAAUACCGCAUACGUCCUGAGUGAGAAAGUGGGGGAUCUUCGGACCUCACGCUAUCAGAUGAGCCUAGGUCGGAUUAGCUAGUUGGUGGGGUAAAGGCCUACCAAGGCGACGAUCCGUAACUGGUCUGAGAGGAUGAUCAGUCACACUGGAACUGAGACACGGUCCAGACUCCUACGGGAGGCAGCAGUGGGGAAUAUUGGACAAUGGGCGAAAGCCUGAUCCAGCCAUGCCGCGUGUGUGAAGAAGGUCUUCGGAUUGUAAAGCACUUUAAGUUGGGAGGAAGGGCAGUAAGUUAAUACCUUGCUGUUUUGACGUUACCAACAGAAUAAGCACCGGCUAACUUCGUG